UGAGGAAUAUUGGUCAAUGGACGGAAGUCUGAACCAGCCAAGUAGCGUGCAGGAUGACGGCUCUAUGGGUUGUAAACUGCUUUUGUAUGGGGAUAAAGUUAGGGACGUGUCCCUAUUUGCAGGUACCAUACGAAUAAGGACCGGCUAAUUCCGUGCCAGCAGCCGCGGUAAUACGGAAGGUCCAGGCGUUAUCCGGAUUUAUUGGGUUUAAAGGGAGCGUAGGCUGGAGAUUAAGUGUGUUGUGAAAUGUAGACGCUCAACGUCUGAAUUGCAGCGCAUACUGGUUUCCUUGAGUACGCAAAACGUUGGCGGAAUUCGUCGUGUAGCGGUGAAAUGCUUAGAUAUGACGAAGAACUCCGAUUGCGAAGGCAGCUGACGGGAGCGCAACUGACGCUUAAGCUCGAAGGUGCGGGUAUCAAACAGG
rnacentral:rRNA from 1 species